rnacentral:rRNA from 1 species
UACGGAGGGUGCAAGCGUUAUCCGGAUUCACUGGGUUUAAAGGGUGCGUAGGUGGGUCUGUAAGUCAGUGGUGAAAUCUCCGAGCUUAACUCGGAAACUGCCAUUGAUACUAUAGGUCUUGAAUUAUCUGGAGGUGAGCGGAAUAUGUCAUGUAGCGGUGAAAUGCUUAGAUAUGACAUAGAACACCAAUUGCGAAGGCAGCUCACUACGGAUAUAUUGACACUGAGGCACGAAAGCGUGGGGGAUCAAACAGG